rnacentral:ribozyme from 1 species
UUUUUUUUUUUUUUUUUUUUUUUUUUUUUUUUUUUUUG